GUACUUACUUUGGCAGCACACGGACUAAAACUGAGAAUGGUACAGAGAAGAUUAGCAUGGCCCCUGCGCAAACAUUUUGCUUAAAUUUGUGAAGCAUUCCAUACAUGG
ensembl:snRNA U6 U6 spliceosomal RNA